GACGAACGCUGGCGGCGUGCCUAAUACAUGCAAGUCGAGCGGACGAUUCGAAAGCUUGCUUUUGAAUCGUUAGCGGCGGACGGGUGAGUAACACGUGGGCAACCUGCCCUGUAGACGGGGAUAACACCGAGAAAUCGGUGCUAAUACCGGAUAACACGAAAUGUCGCAUGACGUUUCGUUGAAAGGCGGCGCAAGCUGCCGCUACAGGAUGGGCCCGCGGCGCAUUAGCUAGUUGGUGAGGUAACGGCUCACCAAGGCGACGAUGCGUAGCCGACCUGAGAGGGUGAUCGGCCACACUGGGACUGAGACACGGCCCAGACUCCUACGGGAGGCAGCAGUAGGGAAUCUUCCGCAAUGGACGAAAGUCUGACGGAGCAACGCCGCGUGAGCGAAGAAGGCCCUCGGGUCGUAAAGCUCUGUUGUUAGGGAAGAACAAGUAACGUAGUAACUGACGUUACUAUGACGGUACCUAACGAGAAAGCCACGGCUAACUACGUG
rnacentral:rRNA from 1 species